rnacentral:rRNA from 1 species
UGGGGAAUAUUGGACAAUGGGCGAAAGCCUGAUCCAGCCAUGCCGCGUGUGUGAAGAAGGUCUUCGGAUUGUAAAGCACUUUAAGUUGGGAGGAAGGGCAGUAAGCGAAUACCUUGCUGUUUUGACGUUACCGACAGAAUAAGCACCGGCUAAAUCUGUGCCAGCAGCCGCGGUAAUACAGAGGGUGCAAGCGUUAAUCGGAAUUACUGGGUGUAAAGCGCGCGUAGGUGGUUCGUUAAGUUGAAUGUGAAAGCCCCGGGCUCAACCUUGGAACUGCAUCCAAAACUGGCGAUCUAGAGUAGGGCAGAGGGUGGUGGAAUUUCCUGUUUAGCGGUGAAAUGCGUAGAUAUAGGAAGGAACACCAGUGGCGAAGGCGACCACCUUGGCUCAUACUGACACUGAGGUGCGAAAGCGUGGGGAGCAAACAGG